UUAAGUGACUAAGCGUACAAGGUGGAUGCCUUGGCAAUCAGAGGCGAAGAAGGACGUGCUAAUCUGCGAAAAGCUUGGAUGAGUCGAUAAGAGGCGUUUAAUCCAAGAUGUCCGAAUGGGGAAACCCAGUAGAUGAAGAAUCUACUAUCACUUACUGAAUCCAUAGGUAAGUGAGGCAAACCGGGAGAACUGAAACAUCUAAGUACCCCGAGGAAAAGAAAUCAACCGAGAUUUCGUUAGUAGCGGCGAGCGAACGCGAAGGAGCCUGUUAGUGAUAAUGACAGAGACAGAGGAACAAGCUGGGAAGCUUGGCGAUACAGGGUGAUAGCCCCGUACUCGAAGUCCAGGUCAUGGUACUAAGCUAACGACAAGUAGGGCGGGACACGUGAUAUCCUGUUUGAAGAUGGGGGGACCAUCCUCCAAGGCUAAAUACUCCUGAUUGACCGAUAGUGAACCAGUACUGUGAAGGAAAGGCGAAAAGAACCCCGGUGAGGGGAGUGAAAUAGAACCUGAAACCUUGUACGUACAAGCAGUGGGAGCCCUUUAAGGGUGACUGCGUACCUUUUGUAUAAUGGGUCAGCGACUUAUAUUUUGUAGCGAGGUUAACCGAAUAGGGGAGCCGAAGGGAAACCGAGUCUUAACUGGGCGUCUAGUUGCAAGGUAUAGACCCGAAACCCGGUGAUCUAGCCAUGGGCAGGUUGAAGGUUGGGUAACACUAACUGGAGGACCGAACCGACUAAUGUUGAAAAAUUAGCGGAUGACUUGUGGCUGGGGGUGAAAGGCCAAUCAAACCGGGAGAUAGCUGGUUCUCCCCGAAAUCUAUUUAGGUAGAGCCUUGAGCGGACACCUUCGGGGGUAGAGCACUGUUUCGGCUAGGGGUCCAUCCCGGAUUACCAACCCGAUGCAAACUACGAAUACCGAAGAGUGAUACUCAGGAGACACACGGCGGGUGCUAACGUCCGUCGUGGAGAGGGAAACAACCCAGACCGCCAGCUAAGGUCCCAAAGUCUAUAUUAAGUGGGAAACGAAGUGGGAAGGCUUAGACAGCUAGGAUGUUGGCUUAGAAGCAGCCAUCAUUUAAAGAAAGCGUAAUAGCUCACUAGUCGAGUCGGCCUGCGCGGAAGAUGUAACGGGGCUCAAAUAUAGCACCGAAGCUGCGGCAUCAGACGAAAGUCUGUUGGGUAGGGGAGCGUUCUGUAAGCGGAUGAAGGUGGCUCGAGAGGGCUGCUGGACGUAUCAGAAGUGCGAAUGCUGACAUAAGUAACGAUAAAACGGGUGAAAAACCCGUUCGCCGGAAGACCAAGGGUUCCUGUCCAACGUUAAUCGGGGCAGGGUGAGUCGGCCCCUAAGGCGAGGCUGAAAAGCGUAGUCGAUGGGAAACGGGUUAAUAUUCCCGUACUUGGAUAAACUGCGAUGUGGGGACGGAGCAGGUUAGGUUAUCGCACUGUUGGAUAUGUGCGUUUAAGUUGGUAGGUGUGAAGUUUAGGCAAAUCCGGACUUCUUUAACACCGAGAGAUGAUGACGAGGCUCUACGGAGCUGAAGUAACCGAUACCACACUUCCAGGAAAAGCCACUAAGCUUCAGGUUUAUCUAAACCGUACUGAAAACCGACACAGGUGGUCAGGUAGAGAAUACUCAGGCGCUUGAGAGAACUCGGGUGAAGGAACUAGGCAAAAUAGCACCGUAACUUCGGGAGAAGGUGCGCCGGCGUAGAUUGUAGUCCCUAGCGGGCGAAGGUUGAACCGGUCGAAGAUACCAGCUGGCUGCAACUGUUUAUUAAAAACACAGCACUCUGCAAACACGAAAGUGGACGUAUAGGGUGUGAUGCCUGCCCGGUGCUGGAAGGUUAAUUGAUGGUGUAAUCGAAAGAGAAGCUCCUGAUCGAAGCCCCAGUAAACGGCGGCCGUAACUAUAACGGUCCUAAGGUAGCGAAAUUCCUUGUCGGGU
rnacentral:rRNA from 1 species